rnacentral:rRNA from 1 species
GGUCAAGGAUGGACUCGCGGCCUAUCAGGUAGUUGGUGAGGUAACGGCCCACCAAGCCUACGACGGGUAGCCGGCCUGAGAGGGUGACCGGCCACACUGGGACUGAGACACGGCCCAGACUCCUACGGGAGGCAGCAGUGGGGAAUAUUGCACAAUGGGCGAAAGCCUGAUGCAGCAACGCCGCGUGAGGGACGACGGCCUUCGGGUUGUAAACCUCUUUUAGUAGGGAAGAAGCGAAAGUGACGGUACCUGCAGAAAAAGCACCGGCUAACUACGUGCCAGCAGCCGCGGUAAUACGUAGGGUGCGAGCGUUGUCCGGAAUUAUUGGGCGUAAAGAGCUCGUAGGCGGUCUGUCGCGUCUGCUGUGAAAUCCCGAGGCUCAACCUCGGGCCUGCAGUGGGUACGGGCAGACUAGAGUGCGGUAGGGGAGAUUGGAAUUCCUGGUGUAGCGGUGGAAUGCGCAGAUAUCAGGAGGAACACCGAUGGCGAAGGCAGAUCUCUGGGCCGUAACUGACGCUGAGGAGCGAAAGCGUGGGGAGCGAACAGGAUUAGAUACCCUGGUAGUCCACGCCGUAAACGUUGGGCGCUAGAUGUGGGGACCAUUCCACGGUUUCCGUGUCGCAGC